UACAGAGAGUGCGAACGUUGUUCGGAAUUACUGGGCUUAAAGCGCACGUAGGCGGCAUCGUAAGUGUCUGGUGAAAUCCCACGGCUCACCCGUGGAACUGCCAGGCAUACUGUGAUGCUCGAGUGUGGUAGGGGAGAGCGGAACUCCUGGUGGAGCGGUGAAAUGCGUAGAUAUCAGGAGGAACACCGGUGGCGAAGGCGGCUUUCUGGACAGAAACUGACGCUGAGGCGCGAAAGCUAGGGGAGCAAACAGG
rnacentral:rRNA from 1 species